rnacentral:rRNA from 1 species
UGAACGCUGGCGGCGUGCCUAAUACAUGCAAGUCGAGCGAACAGACGAGGAGCUUGCUCCUCUGACGUUAGCGGCGGACGGGUGAGUAACACGUGGAUAACCUACCUAUAAGACUGGGAUAACUUCGGGAAACCGGAGCUAAUACCGGAUAAUAUAUUGAACCGCAUGGUUCAAUAGUGAAAGACGGUUUUGCUGUCACUUAUAGAUGGAUCCGCGCCGCAUUAGCUAGUUGGUAAGGUAACGGCUUACCAAGGCGACGAUGCGUAGCCGACCUGAGAGGGUGAUCGGCCACACUGGAACUGAGACACGGUCCAGACUCCUACGGGAGGCAGCAGUAGGGAAUCUUCCGCAAUGGGCGAAAGCCUGACGGAGCAACGCCGCGUGAGUGAUGAAGGUCUUCGGAUCGUAAAACUCUGUUAUUAGGGAAGAACAAAUGUGUAAGUAACUAUGCACAUCUUGACGGUACCUAAUCAGAAAGCCACGGCUAACUACGUG